AUUGAACGCUGGCGGCAGGCCUAACACAUGCAAGUCGAGCGAGCGGCGGACGGGUGAGUAAUGUAUGGGGAUCUGCCCGAUAGAGGGGGAUAACUACUGGAAACGGUGGCUAAUACCGCAUACUGUCGGAUGAACCCAUAUGGGAUUAGCGAGUAGGUAAGGUAAUGGCUUACCUAGGCGACGAUCCCUAGCUGGUCUGAGAGGAUGAACGGCCACAUUGGGACUGAGACACGGCCCAGACUCCUACGGUAGGCAGCAGUGGGGAAUCUUCCGCAAUGGACGAAAGUCUGACGGAGCAACGCCGCGUGAGUGAUGACGGCCUUCGGGUUGUAAAGUACUUUCUGCGGGGAGGCGUUACCCGCAGAAGAAGCACCGGCUAACUCCGUGCCAGCAGCCGCGGUAAUAC
rnacentral:rRNA from 1 species